rnacentral:lncRNA from 1 species
GUGCCUUUUAUUUUUUUUUCCCUAGGUGGAGUCUGUCUGCCCUGCCUCUUGAUUAUACGACACAUUCAGCUCCAUUAAACAGGUCACUGGCAAAAAUGAGCAAAACUAGAAGUUCUCUUGGUGGAAGAGAAAUAGGAAAAUUUGGGUUGUUCCGUGGAACUUCAGCCACUCCCCAUGUUCUCCAUGCCAGCUGAGAAAGCAUCUUUAAGCAAAACACAAGUCAAAAAUGGCCACAGCCUCACACACCGGGCUCGAAAGCUCCACCAUCUAUAUGGUCCGGCCCUGUAGGACAACGUGCAGGGAAGGAGACGCACAGAAAGGGCCUUUUAAAAUGUUCUCACCGAAUCACUCAAGAUUGUAUCAGCAUGAAGCAUGUCAUCCACACCAAUAUCCUCAGAGCCUCCUCAUGAAUAAUGUGACUAACAAGCGUCCUGUGUGGCCGCCUGGCACUCUGGGAGCUUCAUCAGCCUGACUCCUCAGGUAACUUCCUGGCAAACAUCCUUCAAGAUGGCCUCCGCCUUGCCUGGGGACAGCAAGUCCUACUAUGAGGGAGAAUCAAAGGACUUUAAAUUUUAUUUCGCCUGUUUUUUUGUGUGUGUUUGGUUGUAAAGGACAGAGGUAGAUUUAUCCUUUGACAGAAGACCUUGAGAGGGGAUUAAAUCAGUCUUCCCAGCUAGCUUAUCCUUCUCUCUCCCCCCAGACACAGGGGGAGGACACAGCAGUUGGGGGGCAGGGACGGGGGGUUGUGGAGUUGGAGAGUCACCAUAACUGCCACCAUGUUCUCUAACCUCUGGGCUCACUCUGACCUCCUAGCCAUACUUGUCCAAGAGAAGGCAAAUCCCCAUCCCUGUAAAAAUCUCUCCAAAGAGACUUUACAAAACAAAUGUGGAUAGACACUCCCCGGCUCUGUAGAACAGAAGGAAAAUUUAAACUAUAAAGACGGACAUAUUUACAGGGGCCGGGUCCCAUAUGCUAACACAAAGAUGUCUAGACAGAACUCAGCUCACCCGCCCCUUCACAGAGCUUUCUCCCAAUCCCAUCUCUUCCCAUACCCUUUGUCUAUGAAACUCUGCCCACUUUAAUGUAAGAUCCAAAGUUCAGCCUCCUAGUUCUGCAAAUUUACAGUAAAAGCAGCAACAGCAAAUAUUUAAACCAGCAGAAAAAAUAUGAGGUAAUAAGAGGAUGGUCACUCCUCACACAGAUCCUUCCCUGGAACAGAGAAGUCAAAGUCACCAGCUCUUGCUUUAUAAUCUGACACAGCUUUGCUGCUCUGCGGUAUCAGUAGGCUAAUGUAUAACGUUGAGUAUUUAAAGUCGAUGUUCACCAAGCACUUGCCACACUCGGGGCACUCUGCUGGGCACUCUGUAUUCAUCUAAUGGCUUGAGUUUUAUAUCUCUCUGGUGUUGUGGCAAAGAGCAGGUGAUUAGUUGUGACAUUUUGUAGAUGAGCAGAGACCCUGGGAGGUUGGAGAAUCUGUCCAGUCACCAUGGUUGAUCCAUUGUAGGGUUAGGUUUCUUUUUUUUUAAGCUUUUAUUUAUUUAUUUUUAAAGGAUUUUAUUUUAUUUUUUUUAAGAUUUUAUUUAUUUAUUUGACAGGGAGACACUGAGCAAGAGCGGGAACACAGGUGAGGGGAGCAGGAGGGGGAGAAGCAGGCUCCCAGCUAAGCAGAGAGCCUGAUGCAGGGCUUGAUCCCAGGACCCUGGGAUCAUGACCUGAGCCGAAGGCAUAGGCUUAACCAACUGAGCCACCCAGGGGCCCCAAGAUUUUAUUUCUUUAUUUGACACACAGAGAGAGCACAAGCAGAAGGAGUGGCAGCCAGAGGGAGAGGGAGAAGCAGGCUCCCUGUGGAGCAGGGGGAGCCCAAGGUGGAACUCCAUCCCAGGACCCCAGGACAAUGACCUGAGUCAAAGGCAGUUGCUGGCAAACUGGGCAGGGAGGGUUGCAGAAGGUCUGAUGAGACAUGUGUGAAGGUGGACACCAUACACUCUCAGGGUGGAGACCUCUAGGUGAUCCAGAAGACCAGGGAAGCACUUGUGUAGUAGGGUCAAGGCCAUACAUGAAGAUCUGUGGUCCAAUCGCUAGUAGUAACAUUUAACACCAAUGAAGCAGUUAGUGUGUACUAAGUGCCGCUAAGCACUUACGCAUUAACUAAUCCAGUAGUUCUCAAACUUGAGCAUAUAUCAGAAUCAUGGCUAUUAGAAUGUGGAUUGCUGGCCCCACUCCUAGAGUUUCAGAUUCAGGAGCGAUCCCUCGCUCUCCUUUUCUUCCUAAAGCCUCUCCUUCGUCCUAUGUCCUGUUUGGGUCCCUGUCUCCCCAGAACUUCUCUGCUCAUGCUAACUAUGUUAUCUCCCCUCUGUACUCUUCUGAGUGUAUUGUUUAGGGCACUUACUAGAUCUGGGUUUGAAUCCCACAGAUUGAUUUACUGGCUUCGUGAGUGUGGACAAAUCAUUUUACACUUCUGUGCCUUCAUUUUUUUUCAAAUGUAAAAUGAGAACUGUAAUACAUUAUUUACUUCAUAGAGCUGUUGUGAGGAUUAAAUAAAUAAAUAUAUAGUGUAAGAAAUGUUAUAAAC